AGGAAUAUUGGUCAAUGGGCGGAAGCCUGAACCAGCCAAGUCGCGUGGAGGAAGACGGCCCUACGGGUUGUAAACUCCUUUUACCUGGGAAUAACGGGCGCUACGCGUAGCGCUGUGCAAGUACCGGGAGAAUAAGCAUCGGCUAAUUCCGUGCCAGCAGCCGCGGUAAUACGGAAGAUGCGAGCGUUAUCCGGAUUUAUUGGGUUUAAAGGGUGCGUAGGCGGAAGAAUAAGUCAGCGGUGAAAUGCUUCAGCUCAACUGGAGAAUUGCCGAUGAAACUGUUUUUCUAGAGUAUAAAAGAGGUAUGCGGAAUGCGUGGUGUAGCGGUGAAAUGCAUAGAUAUCACGCAGAACCCCGAUUGCGAAGGCAGCAUACUGGGCUAUAACUGACGCUGAAGCACGAAAGCGUGGGUAUCGAACAGGAUUAGAUACCCUGGUAGUCCACGCCGUAAACGAUGAAUACUAACUGUUUGCGAUAUAAUGUAAGCGGUACAGCGAAAGCGUUAAGUAUUCCACCUGGGGAGUACGCCGGCAACGGUGAAACUCAAAGGAAUUGACGGGGGCCCGCACAAGCGGAGGAACAUGUGGUUUAAUUCGAUGAUACGCGAGGAACCUUACCCGGGCUCAAACGACAGGGGAAUAAUCCCGAAAAGGAUUAGCCAGCAAUGGUCGCUGUCGAGGUGCUGCAUGGUUGUCGUCAGCUCGUGCCGUGAGGUGUCGGCUUAAGUGCCAUAACGAGCGCAACCCUUACCGGUAGUUACUAACAGGUCAAGCUGAGGACUCUACCGGGACUGCCAGCGCAAGCUGUGAGGAAGGUGGGGAUGACGUCAAAUCAGCACGGCCCUUACGUCCGGGGCGACACACGUGUUACAAUGGCAGGUACAGAGAGUCGCUUCGUAGCAAUACGUAGCCAAUCCCAAAAACCUGUCUCAGUUCGGAUCGGAGUCUGCAACUCGACUCCGUGAAGCUGGAUUCGCUAGUAAUCGCGCAUCAGCCAUGGCGCGGUGAAUACGUUCCCG
rnacentral:rRNA from 1 species